rnacentral:rRNA from 1 species
GACAGAGGUGCCGAGCGUUAGGCGGAAUCACUGGGCUUAAAGCGUGUGUAGGCGGGUCCGUAAGUACCUUGUGAAAUCCCACGGCUCAACCGUGGAACUGCUCGGUAUACUGCGGGUCUGAGCUGUCUAGGGGCGACCGGAACAAGCGGUGGAGCGGUGAAAUGCGUAGAUAUCAGGAGGAACACCGGUGGCGAAGGCGGUGGUCUGGGCCGGCACUGACGCUGAGGAGCGAAAGCGUGGGUAGCAAACAGG